CCGAGCCACGAGUGGUGACCACGAUUAUUGGGCUUAAAGCGUUCGUAGCCUGUUUGGAAAGUUUCUGAUGAAAUCCUGCAGUCAACUGCAGGGCUUGUCAGGGAUACUACUAGACUUGAGACCGGGAGAGGCUGAGGGUAUUCCUGGGGUAGGAGUAAAAUCCUGUAAUCCCAGGAGGACCACCUGUGGCGAAGGCGCUCAGCUAGAACGGAUCUGACGGUGAGGGACGAAAGCUAGGGGAGCGAAGCGGAUUAGAUACCCGAGUAGUCC
rnacentral:rRNA from 1 species